rnacentral:rRNA from 1 species
UMUUCGGAUCGUAAAGCUCUGUUGUAAGAGAAGAACGAGUGUGAGAGUGGAAAGUUCACACUGUGACGGUAUCUUACCAGAAAGGGACGGCUAACUACGUGCCAGCAGCCGCGGUAAUACGUAGGUCCCGAGCGUUGUCCGGAUUUAUUGGGCGUAAAGCGAGCGCAGGCGGUUAGAUAAGUCUGAAGUUAAAGGCUGUGGCUUAACCAUAGUACGCUUUGGAAACUGUUUAACUUGAGUGCAAGAGGGGAGAGUGGAAUUCCAUGUGUAGCGGUGAAAUGCGUAGAUAUAUGGAGGAACACCGGUGGCGAAAGCGGCUCUCUGGCUUGUAACUGACGCUGAGGCUCGAAAGCGUGGGGAGCAAACAGGAUUAGAUACCCUGGUAGUCCACGCCGUAAACGAUGAGUGCUAGGUGUUAGACCCUUUCCGGGGUUUAGUGCCGCAGCUAACGCAUUAAGCACUCCGCCUGGGGAGUACGACCGCAAGGUUGAAACUCAAA